rnacentral:lncRNA from 1 species
UUUCGCUCUUGUCACCCAGGCUGGAGUGCAAUGGCGCCAUCUCAGCUCACCACAACCUCUGCCUCCCGGGUUCAAGCAAUUCUCCUGCCUCAGCCUCCUGAGUAGCUGGAUUACUGGCAUGUGCCACCACACCCAGCAAAUUUUGUAUUUUUAGUAGAGGUGGGGUUUCUCCAUGUUGGUCAGGCUGGUCUCCGGCUCCUGACCACAGGUGAUCUGCCCGCCUCGGCCUCCCAAAGUGCUGGGAUUACAGGUGUGAACCACUGAGCCUGGCCUCCUUAUUCUUAAUGACCACUUGGAAUCCAAUGACAGAAUCUGCCACCACAACUUCCAGCCUCCAGGGGACGGACACCCACUUUCAAGGAUUUCUUCCCAGGUUGCAAAUAAGGAAGUUGCUCAGUUCUUUUGAGCCACCCAAAUACAACAAUCCUUUCGAGCCUUCAGACUAGGGUAACCAACUGUCCUGGUUUACCUGGAACUGAGGAGUUUCCCAGGAUGCAGGACUCUCAGUUUUAUAACCAGGGACAUUUCAGGCACACUGGCUCGAGUCAGCUACCUCACUUCAGAAUUCUGACUCUAAAAUACAGCGGGAGAGAUUCUGUGUCUCAACUUCAAUGCACGUUCGUCACAGCUGAGCCCAGACAGAACAAGGGAUCAGGACUUUUCACAGCUGCUCUAGUGAAGACUUCUAGGUCCUUUUCAAUACCUACGGUCUGAUCCAAUUUAAAUUUCAUCCAUUUUGGUCAAGCAUGCUCAGAAUCCAUCCUUAAGCCAGCUCUCAGGUCCUUGCUGAUCCAAAUUGAUGACAGCUUGCAAUUCCUUUGCUAUGUAGGCUACCUCCUCACAGAACAGACCUCACGGGUCUCCCUCUCCGCUGAGCUAGGACUUUCCUACACUAUGAGGUGCCAUGGGCCUUCGCUUAUGAGGAAACCCAGGUGACGUUACUGGAAGCUCUUCAUGCAGCAGGAUAUUAAUUUAUCAGAAACAGUAGGAGGGGUGGCCUCCACCAGCAAGAGAUCUUCAUGGGAAUUUGGAGAGUCAAGGCUCCCAGCUCCCCUUUAGGCUUUAAUCUUAAUAUGGAGACUAGCACAAUUUGGAGAUUUAAGUCCCUUAUUCUUAUUUAAAUCCCGUUCUUGUUCUAAUCUCUCCAGGGACAUGACCCUAUGCCAGCCCACACCACAGUCUUGGUCAUCACUCCUGUUUCCAUGGUGUUAACAGCAGCAGUUACUUGGUUACGGAGAGCUUUUCCUUACGCCAGCACCCUAUCCAUAUCGCUUGGACAGUACGUACACAAUGGUGAUGUUAUUGCUCGUCAUGUAUUACUAGUAAGAGCUUUGUCCCAGCAAGGAAGCCACCCAUGCAUCCACCAAACAUGAGAAACUCAAUCCCCAAAUCUCGUUUUGAAGUUCUGGUUCCUAGUCCAUUCCUAGUAGCCACAAUGAGAUCAGUCAGGGUCUUAGGAGGAAAAAACAUUCACACAGAUGUUUUAAAUGAAGGGACCUUAAUGACUAAACUACUAACAGACCUGUUGGCAUAUUAAGGAAAGAAAUGAGAGAGAUGGGGAAACUAAGGACUGGUAACAGCUGGAAGGCUUUGCCACCCUAAGAAUCAAACAGGGAAGGGAAAGAUGCAGCGUUACCAGGUCCUGUGUGAGCUGGCAUGAAGCCCGGGAGGUACCACCAUGGAGGCAUGGGGCUUCCUGAGAAGUGGUGAGGAAGAAUGGAUGGAGCAGGGAAGCAAGACCCCUUCCACCCACCGGCCCCCUGCUGCUGACCUCUUGGCCAAAUGGGACAGAAGCCAGCUUGCAGGGGCUGCUAUUCCGCCUGUGGGUAUCAGGGCAGAAAGUGGGCAGUUUCAGGGCAGGUGGGGUCAGUCAACAAUUCAGUUCAUCUUUUUCAGUUUUCUUUCUGGAUGAUUUUCAGAUGCUGUCUUGUGGUGUUGGGACUGCAGUUUCAUGAAAAUAUGUCUAGGUGUAGAGUUUGUUUUAUUCUGCUUAGAUAUAGAGUGCUUCCUAUGUUGGUGGAUCCAUCUUUUUUGACAUUAUGGAAAUUGUCUCUUUAAGUGUGUCUACUGCUGUAUUCUUUUUUUUUUUUGUAGGAAAGCAAAUAUAUGCGACUUUUUCAUUCUGUUAUCUAGAGGCAGUUUUGAAUGGUGAUUAAAAGCAUGAUUUCUGAAGAAGACUGCCUGGGUUUAAAUCUUAUUCCCCAAAGUUCCUAGCUGUGUGACCUUAGGCAAGUUACUUAAAAUCUCCGUCCCUCUGUAAUCUCACCAUGUAAAUGAGGGUGACAUUAGCACGGUGCAGGUUUGACGUGAGGAUUGAAUGGAUGAAUGUCAGGAAAGAUCCAGGACAUAAUGGAAAAACUUAUGUCUUAC